rnacentral:rRNA from 1 species
AACGAACGCUGGCGGCAUGCCUAACACAUGCAAGUCGAACGAGACCUUCGGGUCUGGUGGCGCACGGGUGCGUAACGCGUGGGAACCUGCCCUUAGGUUCGGAAUACCUCCCCGACAGGGGUGCUAAUACCGGAUAAUGUCUUCGGACCAAAGAUUUAUCGCCUUUGGAUGGGCCCGCGUUGGAUUGGCUAGUUGGUAGGGUAAGAGCCUACCAAGGCGAGGAUCCUUAGCUGGUCUGAGAGGAGGAGCAGCCACACUGGGACUGAGACACGGCCCAGACUCUUACGGGAGGGAGCAGUGGGGAAUAUUGGACAAUGGGCGAAAACCUGAUCCAGCAAGGCCGCGUGAGUGAUGAAGUCCUUAGGGUUGUAAAGCUCUUUUAUACGGGAUGAUAAUGACAGUACCGGGAGAAUAAGCACCGGCUAACUCCGUG